rnacentral:rRNA from 1 species
UACAGAGGGGGCAAGCGUUGUUCGGAAUUACUGGGCGUAAAGGGCGCGUAGGCGGCCUGUUAAGUCGAACGUGAAAUCCCCGGGCUCAACCCGGGAACUGCGUCCGAUACUGGCAGGCUUGAAUCCGGGAGAGGGAUGCGGAAUUCCAGGUGUAGCGGUGAAAUGCGUAGAUAUCUGGAGGAACACCGGUGGCGAAGGCGGCAUCCUGGACCGGCAUUGACGCUGAGGCGCGAAAGUGUGGGGAGCGAACAGG